rnacentral:rRNA from 1 species
AAAACUUUUCGCUAAUAGAAGAGCCUAUGUAGGAUUAGGUAGUUGGUAUUUUGGGUAAAAGCCUACCAAGCCUAAGAUCCUUAGCUGUUCUGAGAGGUUGAACAGCCACACUGGGACUGAGACAAGGCCCAGGCUCCAUUUGGAGCCAGCAGUGAGGAAUUUUGGACAAUGAGCGAAAGCUUGAUCCAGCAAUACUACAUGAGUGAAGAAGGCUUUCAAGUUGUAACACUCUUUGGUUGAGGAGGAUAAUGACAGUACUCAACAAAAUAGCCCCGGCUAACUUCGUGCCAGCAGCCGCGGUAAGACGAAGGGGGCGAGCGUUAUCCGGAAUGACUGGGCGUAAAGGGUCCGUAGGCAGCAUUUUUUGUUGGAAGUUAAAUAAAAAAGCUUAACUUUUUUCCGCUUCUAAAACGUAAAUGCUUUGAGUUUGAUAGAAGAUAGCAGAACUUCACAAGGAGGGGUGAUAUCCAGAGAUCUGUGAAGGAAUAUCAGAUGCGAAGGCGGCUAUCUAGAUCAACACUGACGUUGAGGGACGAAAGCAUGGGGAGCAAACAGGAUUAGAUACCCUGGUAGUCCAUGCCCUAAAAGAUGAGUGUUCGUGCUUAGAGAACUUUAGGCACUUAGUUAACACGUUAAACACUCCGCCUGGGGAGUACGAUCGCAAGGUUGGAACUCAAAGGAAUUGACGGGGGCCUAUACAAGUGGUGGAGCAUG